GAAAAAAUUUUUUUUUAUAAUAUAGCCUUAUUAGAUUUAAAAUUUUGUAAAGAAGAUUUGGUUGGCGCCAUACAAAAACUUUGCUUAAAAAAAACUUGUUUGGAUGAAAUAAAUAGAAGUAGUAUUGAGAAAUUAUUGUGGAGUUACAAGAAGUUUCCUGACCCGGAGCUUAUUUUAGUGUUCGGAUCGUGUUUAAGUUUAGCUGGCUAUCUUCCGUGGCAAACUCGAGUUUCAGAAAUUAAGUACUAUCGCAAAAUCGAAUGGUUUCCUUACUACUAUUUUAAAAGGGCUUUGACAGAGUAUUCCAAGUGUGAGCAACGAUUUGGAAGGUGAUUCUUGCUAAAGCUACAAAGGCAGCUUUUACUUAGGUCUCCGGAUUUCAACAUUAAGACUUUCUUCUAAAGACUUAUGAAUUGACUGGUG